UGAACGCUGGCGGCGUGCCUAAUACAUGCAAGUCGAGCGCACAGACGCGGAGCUUGCUCCUCUGACGUUAGCGGCGGACGGGUGAGUAACACGUGGAUAACCUACCUAUAAGACUGGGAUAACUUCGGGAAACCGGAGCUAAUACCGGAUAAUAUAUUGAACCGCAUGGUUCAAUAGUGAAAGACGGUUUUGCUGUCACUUAUAGAUGGAUCCGCGCCGCAUUAGCUAGUUGGUAAGGUAACGGCUUACCAAGGCGACGAUGCGUAGCCGACCUGAGAGGGUGAUCGGCCACACUGGAACUGAGACACGGUCCAGACUCCUACGGGAGGCAGCAGUAGGGAAUCUUCCGCAAUGGGCGAAAGCCUGACGGAGCAACGCCGCGUGAGUGAUGAAGGUCUUCGGAUCGUAAAACUCUGUUAUUAGGGAAGAACAAAUGUGUAAGUAACUAUGCACGUCUUGACGGUACCUAAUCAGAAAGCCACGGCUAACUACGUG
rnacentral:rRNA from 1 species